UCUGGCUGCUGACCCUGUGGUCUAGUGGUUAAGAUCCUGGUUUCUAUCCAGGCAACCUGGGUUUGAUUCCCCGUC
rnacentral:miRNA from 1 species